GUGCUCACUUCAGCAGCACAUAUACUAAAACUGGAACGAUACAGAGAAGAUUAGCAUGGCCCCUGCACAAGGAUGACACACAAAUUCAUGAAGUGUUCCAUAUUUUU
rnacentral:snRNA from 1 species